rnacentral:lncRNA from 1 species
GGAAGCCAGGUGGCUUCUAUUGUUAUAAUUGUUAUUGGUUUUGAUGCAGGGUAGAUUCAAUGUUUUAUACUUAGAAUGUCUCAUUUUCCCCUUCAGUCUUCUCUGUUUUACUCAAUAGGUAAUUUGCACCCAUUUUAUCUCUCAUUCUUUCACUGGAAAUUUUCCAUUCCUAUCUCUUCUCUAAUUUUAAAUGUAAAAUUUAGUUUAUAGCACAUGAAAAUGUAUAUUCAGACCUUCGCUUGGAUAAUUGGAGGCGUUGGCAGUUCUGGCUGAGAUUCUUUUUUUUUUUUUUUGCUACUUUUUUAUUAAAAUAAUUGAUUUACAGUGAAUAUAUACAUAUAUAUGUAUACAUAUACACACACACACCUUUUUUCAGUCCAUCUUCUAUCAUGAUCUAUCCCAGGAGACUGGACAUAGUUUGCUGUGCUAUAUAGCAGGACUUCAUUGCUUAUCCAUUCUAAGUGUAAUUGUUUGCAUCUACUAACCCCAAACUCCCCAUCCAUCCUUCCUCCCCCUUCCUCUUGGCAACCACAACUCUGUUCUCUGUCUGUGAGUCUGUUUCUGUUUUGUAAGUAGGUUCAUUUGUGCCAUAUUUUGGAUUCCACAUAUGAGUGAUAUCAUAUGGUAUUUGUCUUUCUCUGACUUACUUCACUCAAUAUGAGAAUCUCUAGUUGUAUCCAUGUUGCUGCAAAUGGCAUUAUUUUGUCCUUUUUAUGGCUGAGUAGUAUUCCAUUUAUAUAUGUACCACAUCUUCUUCAUCCCUUCAUCUAUCAAUGGACUUGGUAGGCUAGGACUGAGAAGCUCCUGCCUACUUUAAGAAGGUGAUGUGUUCUUAGUCUACACCUGGCACAGACCCCAUAAGCCUCAGUGGGCCUGAUUCCCAGUGUUACCUUGUGCCCACAGUCCAUGUAGGAUUUUGAGCAUUUUUCUGUUUAUCUUCAAGCACCCUGCUCACAUCUGGCUUCUCACAUCUCCCAGGCCCUACACAGGUCAUUGCAUUUCAGGCACAAUGCCUGUCAGUAUUGUCUUGUUUAAAUGCUCAACAUCAAUGGUACGCCCAGAAUGUAGAAUCCAUACACAUUCAGGAUUUUGACACGCAUCUACAGAGGUAUGCAUAGCCAAUAUGGAAAGUGUCCUCUUUAUGUAUAUAUGUCUAAAAUACAUGAGGAUACUGAGGCCCAUGCCAGAGCUAGUAAGAACUAAAAUUCAGCUAAAACAACUCACAUCUUUUGUCACUUACAUUCAGGCUUUUUCUCUAAGACACCAGGUUUCACAUUUCCAUCCAUUCCUUGUAGAAUUCCAGCCAUCGCUAAGCAGCCGGUUCUUUUCAAUAGUCUCUAACCUCAAUGCCUUUCUCCAGGUUCCCACAUGUUUCUGGUUCCCUUAUUAUGUCUUGUUCACUCGCUUGAGGUAGUCUGGAAUGAAGUAAAUGCAAAUUGUUUUAGUGGUUGAAACAUUUGCGCUCCCCUCCCCCUCCAGAAUCAACAAAAGCUGCUGAGUCUAUGAAUUUAGAAGUAGAAUUUAGACCAGUAAUUAUAGUUAUGGAGUUAAAGAAUUUUCAAUGUUUUUUUAUUUUUUUCUUUUCUUGGACUUAUCAUCUCAGAUUUGCAAUCUGAAUUCUUGGUGCUCCUUUUCCAGUAAUUUCAAGUGAGAAGUUCAAAUCUGUUUACCCAGCAUGCCUAAUGACCAUUAGUAGGGUAAAUAAGGGGAAUCAAUAGACAUAUUAUUGGAGACUGUCUUUUGAAACAUGGUAACAUCACAUGACACGUAUUCCCAGAGGAAUCAAUUGAUUUUUUUUUUUUUAAGCACAAGAAAUGUUUUUUUAUCCCCUCCUACCCAGAGAAAAACAUAAGAAUUCAGACAAGAUCAAGUCCAAAAUGAAUAAUGUAGGGAUUUGCCAUUUGUGUGGAAUAGAAACUACUCACCUUUUAAAACAUUAUUUAUGAAUUUGACUUGAGAUGCUCCGCAUAAAUCUUUUUUUCUUUUCUGGUCAAGUGUUUGUGACAUAAAAAAUGAAAUGGCAUUUAUCACCAGUUUGAUACUUCCAGAAGUAUAUUAAGUAGAAAGAACUUGACCUCAUUAAGUAAAAGGACACACCUAAGAAUUCAUGAAGCAGUUCACAGCUCCUCUCUUUGUUUUACCUGCUCUUCUGCUCCACUCUGAGGUUACUCUGUUGGAGGAGAUGACGAAAUUGCCAUUGAACCUCCUCUUCAUCAUUAAGAAGAAUGAGCAAGUGUGCCUGGAGACCCAGGAAGGCCCUUUGUUUAGUUACAGUCUGAGUUCAAAGGUCAGAGACCCAGGAGAGCUGAUGGUCUCCACCCAAAGACUGCCAGGUUCAAGAGGUAGGAAGUGCCACCAUGUCAGUUCAAGCCUGAAGGCAGGAAAAAAAAAAAUCAUAUGUGUCCAUCUGAAGGCCAUCAUCAAGGAAGGAAUUCUUUCUCACUGUGGGGAGGGUCAGUGUUUUUGUUCUAGAAAGACCUUCAACUGAUUGGAUGAGGCUCACGCCCAUUAGGGAGGGCAAUCUGCUUUAGUCCAGGUACUGAUUUCAGUGUUCUUCACAACCAAAACACCCUCCCAGGAACACCUGGAAUAAUAUUUGACUAAAUGUCAGGCCACCCCAUGGUCCAGUCAAGUUGACACAGAAAAUUAACCUUCACACGGGGGAAUCCAUUAAAGAAGGAUAUAUUCCUCAGUUCCAGCAGCUGUUAGAUGAUUUUUUUUUUACUAGGUGUUAGCUCGUGGUUGUCCUCAGUUCCUGCCACAUGGGCCUCUCCAACAUAACAGCUGGUUUCAACAAAGGCAGCAAGAGAAAGAUAACCUGCUAGCAAAAUGGAAUUAGCAAUCUUUUGUAGUCAAGUCACAUAAUUAAUAGCCUAGUACCUUUGCCAUAUUCUCUUGGUUGGAAGCAUGUCACUGGGUUCAACCCAUACUGCAAUUGAGGAAAUUACAUAUAUGCAUGAACACCCCGGGGUGGGCACCUUUGGGGGCCAUAGUAGAAGGCUGCCUUUCACACAGUUGAAAGGCACGUUGAAGGUUUGAGCAAGGAAUACAAACAUUAGAACCAUAAAAGGGGACUUGCCUCAAACUUACAAGUCUGGAUUUGAGGGUCCUUUAAAAUAAAUCUUCCUAGUUCUAUGAAUUUGUGCAAAUUAAUUACUAUCAUUUUGCUUAUUUCUUCACUUAUUAAAAUGGAUAUAUGUUAUGUUGUUUCUUGCCUAGUAGUAUUCCCAGCAGUAGAACUUGGUCUUCUUGCCCCCUCCCGAUUCAGGUCAAGUUAUUAAGGUAAAGCUUAUCAAAUCUCCCCUCUCCUAUAGGGCUGGACAUAGGAAUCAGAUUUGGCCAUGCAAAGCCAUGGCGACUAGUUCAGGAUGGAACCCAAGAGCCAUUCUGUGUUCAUGAGAAGCAGGCAUAGGACUUUUUCUGGAAGGACUGGACAAGAGAAAGAGCUUUCUCAGUGAGGUUGAAAGUGAGAGAAUGGGCCAUUCCCUUCGUGGCUCAGUGGAAAUGAAUCUGCCUAGCAUCCAUGAGGAUGCAGGUUCGAUCCCUGGCCUCACUCAGUGGGUUAAGAAUCUGGUGUUGCCAUGAGCUGUGGUGUAGGUCGCAGACAUGGCUUGGAUCUGGCGGUGCUGGGGCUGCGAUGUAUGCCAGUGGCUACAGCUCCAAUUCGACCCCUAGCCUGGGAUCCUCCAUAUGCCAGAGGUGCUGCCCUAAAGAGGCAAAAAAAAAAAAAAGAGGGGCGGGGGGAGAAUGUAAGCCUGAAGUUUCCAGCAGCCAUGUAGUUACCUAGUAGGAAAAGUCUGAAUAAGAAAAAGGCUAAUUCUCAUUUCAGUUGUGAGACAGAAAGAGGUAGAUUCCUAAAGAUACCGAACUGCUGGAUCCAUCCUGGCCUGCAGUUCAACAACCCUAACUCUUAUGUGGACCAAUACAUUUCUACUUAAGUCUGUUUGAGUUGUAUUUCUGGCCAUUGCCUGAUCCAUCCCACACCUAGAGCUGUGUGCUGUUUACAGCUAUCUCUCAACAAAUGUACACUGACUAAUGUAUAAAAGCAAUUUUUGGAAGAUUAGCCUUGACAUCCAAGGGCAGGAAGUUGGAACGUAUUCCCCUCCCCGAGUCUUCCUGAACCCUAAAAUUCUAAGAUUGGCUGCUUCCCAGAACACUUCUUGGAGGCCUCUCUUUGGAAUUUGUGUCUAGAAUAUUUGGAAUGGCUUAGGCGGCUCUCUUAGGUUUGUCCAUCUCUAUCCCCAGGCUCACGGCGGUGUAGGUGGGCCAGUCUUGCAAAACUCCAUCUCUGAGCAGCCUCAGGCACAGGAAGCUGGCCCAUACAAGUUCC